CCGGAUUAGGAGAAGAAUAUUUUUGGGUGGUUCUGGAGAUGGAAAUGGAUGGAUAUAUGUGGAUGGUACUUCCGGAGUAGAAGCAGCAUAUGUGAGUGAACAUGCAAGUGAAUCUUGAUUUAACCACAUGACAAGCUCCUAAGGGUCUACACAGCUUGACCACACUCAAUGCUCAUAAGUAGUAAGAAGUAAAUGUGUGGCUCAAAGUCUAGCAAGCAUGUAUAUAUGGCUGUGGUAGGAAUUUAAACUCUCAUCAUACAGGAACUG
rnacentral:lncRNA from 1 species